UGACAACCUGGGGUGCUCUCUUGGCUUGGAUCUGGGAGCCUGGGCGCCCGGGGGUUGUAGUCGGAGCCCUGAGGCUCGCCGAAGAGGCAACUUGGCAGUGUUAGUGUCCCUCAGAUGGGGCGUGCUGUGCCUUGGCCAAGCUUGGAUUCCCCGGAAACAGACCAUUUCAACUAUGCCUCUUUCAAAUGAUCUGAACUUCCUGUUCUUCUGGUGGUUCUGAGCUUCAUGGAAAUGGUGGUGGCUGGAGGCAGGUUGAAGAUUAAGAAGAAGGUAAGGGCCAAUCACAGAGGAAAGAAAAACACAAAAGUGAUUUUUUUUUCCCUUGAAAAUUAUUUCUACCAAUUCAAAAAUAGAAAAGGCCAUCUCAGCUGUGAUAAGGAGGGUCAGAGGAUCAGUAUAGGCUGUGGGAAAAGGGAAUUCCUAAAGACCACGGAUGCUGAGUGGAGAGGUUGGUUCUGCCUGGGCAGAGAAGGUGACAUCUGAGAUGCUUCUUUAGGAUGGAGAGGAGUUUUCCUGCAGCAAGAAGCACAUCAGGGCUGAGUGGGGCACGGACAAGGCAGAGAGAUGGAAGAUCACACAGAGGGCUUGGGUCACCUGGGAGACACAGGUGCCAGGUGCGUUGGCAUAGGGCGCUUGGGUGAAGACAGAAGAACUGAAAUGGAAAGUAGAGGCCAUUUAAAUGGUCUUGUCUGUCCUGAUAAGAAACUUGGACUUUAUUUGGGAGGAAAUGGAGAGCAUUUGCAGACUUUCAAACUGGUAGGAGAGACGGGCGGUGAAGAAUAGUUUUCAAACUUCAGGUUACGCCGUGAAAGUCAUGUCAUGAAUGGACUUCAGAAAUGGAAUGGAUGAGUACAGAAUGGGAUAGAAAAUAUCAAAAUAUAUGCAUGCAGUAAGUGCUGGAUCGUGAAAUGCAUGCAUCUAUGUGUAUGAUUGUGUGUGCAUUCUGGUCAUGAUACAAAAGGUACUUAUUGGAGUUCCUGCUGUGGCACAGUGGGUUAAGAAUCUGACUGCAGUGGCUCAGGUCACUGCAGAGAUGAGGGUUCGAUCCCUGGCUACAUGCAAUGGGUUAAAGUAUCCUGCUCUGCUGCAGCUGUGGCAUAGGUCACAGCUGCUUCGUUUCCCUUCACGGCCUGGGAACCUCAAUAUGCUGUGG
rnacentral:lncRNA from 9 species